UUAGUUGUUCUUGCUUCUAAGAGUACUAAUCAGAUUCCUUGGAACUUAUGAAAUCGUUGGAACAAUGUCAAGGUAAUUCUUCCGGGCCUCAACUGUAUUAUCUCACAUAUAUAUAUAUAUGUGUCAGCUACUUGGUUUCCAUCUCUCUAUAUAUAUAUAUAUAUAUAUAUAUAUAUAUAUAUAUAUAUAUAUAGAGAGAUGGAAACCAAGUAGCUGACACAUUGGCUAAUCAUGGUUUAUCUCUUGAUUCUAUUCACUUUUGGAAUGAUGUACCAGAAUUCACUAGGGAUAGUUACAUUAGGAUUAAAGAUGGCUGGUCCAAUUUCAGAUUUUCUUAUUAGUUUGGAAGUUUCGGCCUAGUCCCCUUCCCUUUGUAUUUCUGUUCUCUUUUUAAUGAAUUUUAGGUUGGUUUGCAUCUUUGCAUCCAGCCUUAUUUGCUUAAAAAAAAAAAAC
rnacentral:lncRNA from 1 species